rnacentral:rRNA from 1 species
ACUCAAAGGAAUUGACGGGGGCCCGCACAAGCGGUGGAGCAUGUGGUUCAAUUCGACGCAACGCGAAGAACCUUACCUGGGCUCGAACGGCUCACGAAAGUCCUUGGAAACAGGGAUUUCCCGCAAGGGACGGGAGUCGAGGUGCUGCAUGGCUGUCGUCAGCUCGUGUCGUGAGAUGUUGGGUUAAGUCCCGCAACGAGCGCAACCCUUGUCCUGUGUUGCUAAGCCGCAAGGCUGCACUCGCAGGAGACCGCCAGGGAUAACCUGGAGGAAGGUGGGGAUGACGUCAAGUCCUCAUGGCCUUUAUGUCCAGGGCUACACACGUGCUACAAUGGCCGGUACAAUGCGCUGCUAACCCGCGAGGGGGAGCCAAUCGCAAAAAGCCGGUCUCAGUUCGGAUUGCAGGCUGCAACUCGCCUGCAUGAAGCUGGAAUCGCUAGUAAUGCCAUAUCAGAACGAUGGCGUGAAUACGUUCCCGGGCCUUGUACACACCGCCCGU